AACUUUCAACAAUGGAUCUCUUGGUUCUGGCAUCGAUGAAGAACGCAGCGAAAUGCGAUAAGUAGUGUGAAUUGCAGAAUUCAGUGAAUCAUCGAAUCUUUGAACGCACAUUGCGCCCCUUGGUAUUCCAUGGGGCAUGCCUGUUCGAGCGUCAUUUA
rnacentral:rRNA from 1 species